rnacentral:rRNA from 1 species
GAAUAUUAGUCAAUGCUCGAAAGAGUGAACUAGCUAACUGAAAUCAAUUAAAAUAAUUGAUAACAUAAGGGAAAAUAAUGAUAUUACCUUAUUAUUAGUGUCGUCCAAAUCUGGUGCCAGAAGACUCGGUAAGGCCAGAGACACAAACGUUAAUCGUCUUAAUCAGGCGUAAAGGGUUUGUAGGCGGCUUUAAAAUUUACUUAUAAAAAAUAAUAAGUAAAGAAUAAAAGCUAGAAUCAAAUAGAGGAUAUAUGAAAGAAUGCUUAGAGUAGGUCUGAUAUCUGUAGAUACUAAGUAGAAUAUUAAAGGCGAAAGCUUUUUUCCAUUAAUGAUUGACGCUCAGAAACGAAGGUGAGGAUAGGAAAUAGGAUUAGAUACCCAGAAUACCCCUCUCUGUCAACGAUGAAUGGUAGUUAUUAGUAAGAAUUAUUAAUGGCAAAGUUAACACGAUAACCAUUCCGCCUUGUGAGUACAACUGCAAAGUUGAAAACAAAAAAAUUAGUCGGUUUCGGAGCAAACGAAGUGAAGCAUGUUAUUUAAUUC